AAUAUUGGACAAUGGGGUCAACCCUGAUCCAGCCAUGCUACGUGUCUGAAGAUGGUCUUCUGAUUUUUAAACCCUUUAAGUUGGGAGGAAGUGCUUUAGUUUAAUACCUUGAAGUUUUGACGUUACCCACCGAAUAAGCAUCUGCUAACUUUGUGCCAGCAGCCGCGGUAAUACAGAGGGUGCAAGCGUUAAUCGGAAUUACUGGGCGUAAAGCGCGCGUAGGUGGUUCAGUAAGAUGGGUGUGAAAUCCCCGGGCUUAACCUGGGAACUGCUUUCAUAACUGCUGAGCUAGAGUACGGUAGAGGGUAGUGGAAUUUCCUGUGUAGCGGUGAAAUGCGUAGAUAUAGGAAGGAACACCAGUGGCGAAGGCGACUACCUGGACUGAUACUGACACUGAGGUGCGAAAGCGUGGGGAGCAAAC
rnacentral:rRNA from 1 species